rnacentral:rRNA from 1 species
AGUGAACGCUGGCGGUAGGCCUAACACAUGCAAGUCGAACGGCAGCACAGUAAGAGCUUGCUCUUACGGGUGGCGAGUGGCGGACGAGUGAGGAAUACAUCGGAAUCUACUUUUUCGUGGGGGAUAACGUAGGGAAACUUACGCUAAUACCGCAUACGACCUACGGGUGAAAGCAGGGGAUCUUCGGACCUUGCGCGAUUGAAUGAGCCGAUGUCGGAUUAGCUAGUUGGCGGGGUAAAGGCCCACCAAGGCGACGAUCCGUAGCUGGUCUGAGAGGAUGAUCAGCCACACUGGAACUGAGACACGGUCCAGACUCCUACGGGAGGCAGCAGUGGGGAAUAUUGGACAAUGGGCGCAAGCCUGAUCCAGCCAUACCGCGUGGGUGAAGAAGGCCUUCGGGUUGUAAAGCCCUUUGUUGGGAAAGAAAAGCAGCAGGUUAAUACCCCGCUGUUCUGACGGUACCCAAAGAAUAAGCACCGGCUAACUUCGUG